GACGAACGCUGGCGGCGUGCCUAAUACAUGCAAGUAGAACGCUGAAGAGAGGAGCUUGCUCUUCUUGGAUGGGUUGCGAACGGGUGAGUAACGCGUAGGUAACCUGCCUUGUAGCGGGGGAUAACUAUUGGAAACGAUAGCUAAUACCGCAUAACAAUGGAUGACACAUGUCAUUUAUUUGAAAGGGGCAAUUGCUCCACUACAAGAUGGACCUGCGUUGUAUUAGCUAGUAGGUGAGGUAAUGGCUCACCUAGGCGACGAUACAUAGCCGACCUGAGAGGGUGAUCGGCCACACUGGGACUGAGACACGGCCCAGACUCCUACGGGAGGCAGCAGUAGGGAAUCUUCGGCAAUGGGGGCAACCCUGACCGAGCAACGCCGCGUGAGUGAAGAAGGUUUUCGGAUCGUAAAGCUCUGUUGUAAGUCAAGAACGGGUGUGAGAGUGGAAAGUUCACACUGUGACGGUAGCUUACCAGAAAGGGACGGCUAACUACGUG
rnacentral:rRNA from 1 species